GUUGAGGAACUGCAGCGUCACCACAUGGUGGUGACUGAUGUUCAAGAGCUGCCACACACUGACCAGCCUGCCACCAGCACAUCCCCACAGCCACGUGUGGCUGAGACCAGCAUUCCAAUGUGAGAGAUGUGCAGUUGAGUGGCCGGUCAAAGAAGCUCAUGGCAGAGAAGGGGCUGCAUAGAAAGCAUUCGCUGGACUACCCACUGCUGAAGAGCUUCACCAACCACCUGGAUAUAGACCUGCACAAUGAAAAUUUCAAACAGGAGGUUAAAAAUGUGGCCAGGUUCAUGUUUUACAUGAAUCCUGUUCAGCCCUCCCUUGAGUUUGUCAGGGAUAAGGA